rnacentral:rRNA from 1 species
UACGGAGGGGGCUAGCGUUGUUCGGAAUUACUGGGCGUAAAGCGCGCGUAGGCGGCGAUAUAAGUUGGGCGUGAAAUCCCGGGGCUCAACCCCGGAACUGCGCUCAAGACUGUAUUGCUAGAGUCCGGGAGAGGCGAGUGGAAUUCCCAGUGUAGAGGUGAAAUUCGUAGAUAUUGGGAAGAACACCAGAGGCGAAGGCGGCUCGCUGGCCCGGAACUGACGCUGAGGUGCGAAAGCGUGGGGAGCAAACAGGAUUAGAUACCCGUGUAGUCC